rnacentral:rRNA from 1 species
GAUGAACGCUAGCGGUGUGCUUAAUGCAUGCAAGUCGAACGGUAGCUCUUGGAUUCGUCUGGGAGUGAGAGUGGCGGACGGGUGAGUAACGCGUUGGUGACCUACCUCAGAGAGGGGGACAACCAUUGGAAACGGUGGCUAAUACCCCAGAUGUCAUACUAUUUGGAAAGGUAUGACUAAAGCUUCGGCGCUCUGAGAGGGGCCAGCGUCCCAUCAGUUAGUUGGUAAGGUAAUGGCUUACCAAGACAGAGACGGGUAGGGGGCGUGAGAGCGUGACUCCCCACACUGGUACUGAGACACGGACCAGAUACCUGCGGGUAGCAGCAGCAAGGAAUAUUGCGCAAUGGACGAAAGUCUGACGCAGCAACACCGCGUGAGGGAUGAAGGCCUUCGGGUCGUAAACCUCUUUUCUGGGGGAAGAGAAAGGACGGUACCCCAGGAAUAAGUCUCGGCUAACUACGUGCCAGCAGCCGCGGUAAAACGUAGGAGGCGAGCGUUAUCCGGAUUUACUGGGCGUAAAGCGCAUGCAGGCGGUUUUUUAAGUUGGACGUGAAAGCUCCUGGCUCAACUGGGAGAGGUCGUUCAAGACUGGAAAACUUGAGGAUGAUAGAGGAGAGUGGAAUUCCCGGUGUAGUGGUGAAAUGCGUAGAUAUCGGGAGGAACACCAGUGGCGAAAGCGGCUCUCUGGGUCAUUCCUGACGCUCAGAUGCGAAAGCUAGGGGAGAGAACGGGAUUAGAAACCCCGGUAUUCCUAGCCGUAAACGAUGUCAACUAGGUGUAGGAGGCAUUAACCCCUUCUGUGCUAAAGCUAACGCAUUAAGUUGACCGCCUGGGGACUACGGCCGCAAGGCUAAAACUCAAAGGAAUUGACG